GAUGAACGCUGGCGGCGUGCCUAAUACAUGCAAGUAGAACGCUGAAGGCGGAGCUUGCUCUUCUGGAUGAGUUGCGAACGGGUGAGUAACGCGUAGGUAACCUGCCUGGUAGCGGGGGAUAACUAUUGGAAACGAUAGCUAAUACCGCAUGACAACAGCUAUUGCAUGAUAACUGUUGAAAAGGGGCAACUGCUCCACUACCAGAUGGACCUGCGUUGUAUUAGCUAGUUGGUGAGGUAACGGCUCACCAAGGCGACGAUACAUAGCCGACCUGAGAGGGGGAUCGGCCACACUGGGACGGAGACACGGCCCAGAGUGCUACAGGAAGCAGCAGUAGGGAAUCUUCGGCAAUGGGCGGAAGACUGAGCGAGCAACGCCGCGGGAGGGAAGAAGGAUGUCGGAUCGUAGAGCUCUGUUGUAGGGGAGGAACGAGUGUGAGAGUGGAAAGAUCACUGUGUGACGGUAUCUUACCAGAAAGGGACGGCUAACUACGUG
rnacentral:rRNA from 1 species